GCUUAUCAGUUCUGCUUUAUUAAGGUUAUUUCAACAAAGCGUUACACUUGUUUUUUUUAGCUCUUGUUCUUCAUCAGCUGAUAGCGAAGGAUCUGACAGGGUCAUGGGAACCUAUCACAGCAUGAACUAGGCAAGAUGCAAUUGCUUGCCAGGCUGUCAGUCUAUCACGGGACAAGAAAAUCACAAACAUAUAAAAAAAUAUAUGCUGCUGCUACCUCCCUGAAGCAGGGAGGUAGCAGCAGAACAUAAGUGGAACACUGAACAUAAGUGGUAAGUGUUUGUUUGUUUCAAGAUUACAUAAUCCAAACACAGUGACAUGUGUUUUCUCUUGAAAAUAACCACCUGAUUUGUUAUCAUCAAAAGAAGCCAAGGUGAAGGCAAGGAAACCUUUUUAUGAUGCAGUACUCUCUCCAGCUCUGUGAAGACGGUUGUGCAAGAGCAAGUUUUGUAAGAGGGGGUGGACGGAGGGGGGAGGGGGCCAAUAAUAAGGAACAUUAUGAGUCACACAAAACUGCCCACUGAGAAUAAGAUGUUCCCACUUGACGCGGAUGAACACCCACAUCAUCUAGAAGUGCUGGUGCAACUUGUCACUGUGCACUGAUACUAUAAAAGUCCUUAAACUGGUCCAAAAGAGAAGGAGGGGUGGGACAGCAUGUACAUAUCAAAAUAAAUAAAAACCUAUGUGUCAGUUUUUUGUCCAGAGAGGGAGUUUAUAUAAGUGGAAAAACCAUUGGUGCCACAGUAUAUAUAACAGAUUUAAAGUGGGGUAGUAGCAGUAGGGUAAUUGUUGCACUUAAAGCCAACUUGUGCCCAUUUUUAAGUCAAGAGGCUUUGUGCUUGUUGUGAAAAACUAAAUAUAUCACACUGUAUAUUUUGUGGAUUCCUGUGUAAAUUAUGUUUUCUUUUGUUUCUCUCAGAAUGAAAAGAAAAGAAGCUAAACUAAUAAAACUGAAUCAGACCGAAACCCUUGUAUGAAAACAAGAAAAAAGCACGAUGAAGAACACUGAAUAUACUGCAGAAACUGGAAACUGGAAAGCAGAUAUGAAAGUUUGGGAAAUGUAUCUGAACAUCUGCUGCCUUACGUCUCUACACCCACAGCUUGUUCACAGAAAAAGACAAAAGGAAAAGGAGAAUUAUGAUCCAGUUGCCAUAGCAGCUGUAAGUUGGUCAGUAGGAUGCGAGUGUGUGUGCAGCAUGACUCUACAUAAUGCAUCCAGACACAAAAGGCGUAGCAUUGUACGUAAAAGUUGCCAUGUACUGAUGCUUAAUCAUUGUUUACUUGAGUCAUGAUUGUGCUCAAUGAGUUUGUGCCUUGGGGCACUUUGUACUUUGUAGAAACGCAUGACUCAUAUUGAUCGAUACUUCUGUUAUUUUAGCAUGCAGUGAAAUCAGAAGGUCAAACACAUGGUAUCUAGCAUAAUAUAUAUAUUUUGCACCAGAAUGCAAAGAUUAACAUAUUGGCUGUAACAUUCUUUGCAGAGAAGUUGCAUGUUUGCACGUUCAUCCCGAGCCAAGGGUGAAUUCAGCCGAGAUUGUUGCAGCAGCCCACCGACAAGCUAUCCUCGCAUUCCUCAGAUAAAAAACUGACAGAAAAUACUAGAACAGAGAACAUCUGUUGAAAGAGUCAGCGUGCAUAUAUUUUAGAUUUAGAGAACAAAAGAAGUAGUCACAGUACAAUGAAGUUCAGCUGAUUUCACUGCCGUUGAGGAAUGUCUAAUUAAUCUCAAACCUGCCCUGGCGUUAGUAAAGGUUAAUUCGUUGAAUGAAUGUAUCACCAAUUGUUUUAUAUUCUAUAACUCUGUUAGAUAUGCUUGAGUGAUCAAGUCAUUCCUCAAAUGAUGACCCUAAUGAAGCACAAAGCUUAACUUUUAUUUCUUAAUUGUUCUUCACACAUCAUAACUGCAUUUAGAAAUUCACUGUAACUCUGUCUUACCAUGUG